AGAGUUUGAUCCUGGCUCAGAACGUACGCUGGCGGCACGCCUAACACAUGCAAGUCGAACGAAGUAGCAAUACUUAGUGGCGAACGGGUGAGUAUAAUGUGGGUAUCUGCCCUUUGGUUUGGAAUAACACGAGGAAACUUGUGCUAAUACCUCAUAAGUCUUUACGGAGAAAGCUUUAUGCGCCAAUGGAUGAGCCCGCACUUGAUUAGCUAGUUGGUAAGGUAAUGGCUUACCAAGGCGACGAUCAAUAGCUGUUCUUAGAGGAAGAUCAGCCACAUUGGGACUGAGACACGGCCCAAACUCCUACGGGAGGCAGCAGUGGGGAAUCUUGCACAAUGGGGGAAACCCUGAUGCAGCGAUGCCGCGUGAGUGAAGAAGGCCUUUGGGUUGUAAAGCUCUUUCGUCGGGGAAGAAAAUGACUGUACCCGAAUAAGAAGGUCCGGCUAACUUCGUGCCAGCAGCCGCGGUAAUACGAAGGGACCUAGCGUAGUUCGGAAUUACUGGGCUUAAAGAGCACGUAGGUGGUAAAAAAAGUUGGUGGUGAAAUCCCAAGGCUUAACCUUGGAACUGCCACCAAAACUUUUUAACUAGAGUAUGAUUGAGGUAAGCGGAAUUUCUAGUGUAGAGGUGAAAUUCGUAGAUAUUAGAAAGAACACCAAUUGCGAAGGCAGCUUUCUGGAUCAUUACUGACACUGAGGUGCGAAAGCAUGGGUAGCGAAGAGGAUUAGAUACCCUCGUAGUCCAUGCCGUAAACGAUGUGUGCUAGACGUUGGGAAUUUAUUUUUCAGUGUCGCAGCAAAAGCGUUAAGCACACCGCCUGGGGAGUACGACCGCAAGGUUAAAACUCAAAUGAAUUGACGGGGACCCGCACAAGUAGUGGAGCAUGUGGUUUAAUUCGAAGAUACGCGCAGAACCUUACCAACACUUGACAUGUUCGUCGCGACUUUAAGAGAUUAGAGUCUUCGGUUCGGCCGGACGAAACACAGGUGCUGCAUGGCUGUCGUCAGCUCGUGUCGUGAGAUGUUGGGUUAAGUCCCGCAACGAGCGCAACCCUUACUUUUAGUUGCUACCAUUCAGUUGGGCACUCUAAAAGAACUGCCAGUGAUAAGCUGGAGGAAGGUGGGGAUGACGUCAAGUCCUCAUGGCCCUUACGUGUUGGGCUACACACGUGCUACAAUGGUAUUUACAGAGGGAUGCUAAGAGGCAACUCCAAGCUAAUCCCCAAAAGAUACCUCAGUUCGGAUUGCACUCUGCAACUCGAGUGCAUGAAGCUGGAAUUACUAGUAAUCGUGGAUCAGCGCGCCACGGUGAAUACGUUCCCGGGUCUUGUACACACCGCCCGUCACACCAUGGAAGUUGGUUACACCUUAAGGCAAAGUGUAAAACCUUUGACUACGGUACGAUCAGCGACUGGGGUGAAGUCGUAACAAGGUAACC
rnacentral:rRNA from 1 species